rnacentral:rRNA from 1 species
CGGACGGGUGAGUAAUGUCUGGGAAACUGCCUUAUGGAGGGGGAUAACUACUGGAAACGGUAGCUAAUACCGCAUAACGUCGCAAGACCAAAGAGGGGGACCUUCGGGCCUCUUGCCAUCGGAUGUGCCCAGAUGGGAUUAGCUAGUAGGUGGGGUAACGGCUCACCUAGGCGACGAUCCCUAGCUGGUCUGAGAGGAUGACCAGCCACACUGGAACUGAGACACGGUCCAG